GACUAAAUUAUAACACCCGUGAUAUAUAUAUAUAUAUAUAUAUGUAGAGAGAGAGAGAGAGAGAGAGAGAGAGAUUGUGCAUGGCCUUCUCGAUUUAAUAACAUAGUGUAUAGUGCCAUCACCUAUCUUUAUCUUUAUCCACAGUUAUCCAAUUCCAAUAUCUGAUCUUACUUUAUCUUUUAUUUAAAAGCAAGUCAUGAACUCUAUGCACAAGUCAUGUUAGACUUUGCAGCCCAUUCCACAGCUUUCAGAGAAACAAUUGCAGGAUAUAGCUAGAAAAGGUGGACAAAGAGAAUGGAUAGCGAAGAGAGGAUAACCAACAAGAUGAUGAUGAAGGUGGAGAUACCAUCCUCGGAGUCCGAAACGACCUCGCCGACAUCGGGACAGCCGGGUGGUGGAGGAGGGCUGGCUAGGCAAGGGAGUGCUGCUAAGAGCAAUUGCCUUUGCUCGCCGACAACCCAUGCAGGUUCAUUCCGGUGCAGGCUCCACCGUGCCCCGACCCUCCAACGGACCAAGAGCAUCGACUCGGGAGGGCACAAGGACUCUGAUCAGUCCAAGGCUAACACAAGUUGUGACACUACUAUUAAAAGAAACACAGUAGAAGCCCAGUGAAUCAUAUGUUCUGAUGAUAUAUAGAUAAGUGUUAAUAAAUUGUUGUUGGUGCUAUAUUGUUUGUGUCCAUCAUUAUAUGUAUGUGUGUUUGCGAUUGCUUUCUUAAUUUUAUUUUUAUUUUUUUUCAUGCACUUUUCUCUCUUGUAAUGUGAAUUAUAUAUGUAUAGGAGGAAUUUGAAAACAUGUUAGAGGUUUUU